rnacentral:rRNA from 1 species
CAAAUGACUCUCGGCAAUGGAUAUCUCGGCUCUUGCAUCGAUGAAGAACGUAGUGAAAUGCGAUACUUGGUGUGAAUUGCAGAAUCUCGUGAAUCAUUGAGUCUUUGAACGCAAGUUGUGCCCGAGGCCUUGUGGCCGAGGGCACGCCUGCUUGGGCGUCAUGGC